rnacentral:rRNA from 1 species
AAACUUUUAACAACGGAUCUCUUGGUUCUGGCAUCGAUGAAGAACGCACGAAAUGCGAUAAGUAAUGUGAAUUGCAGAAUUCAGUGAAUCAUCGAAUCUUUGAACGCACAUUGCGCCCGCCAGCAUUCUGCGGGCAUGCCUGUUCGAGCGUC